rnacentral:ncRNA from 1 species
AAAAGACUUAGUCCUAACCUUACUGUUAGUUGUUGCUAGGUAUAUACAUGCAAGUAUCCGCGCUCCAGUGUAGAAGCCCUCAGUACCUCACUCCCCAGGUCAGCAGGAGCGGGUAUCAGGCUCACCACCUUCAUAAUAGUAGCCCAAAACGCCUUGCACUCGCCACACCCCCACGGGUACUCAGCAGUAAUUAGUAUUAAGCAAUGAGUGAAAACUUGACUUAGCCAUAGCAACUCAGGGUUGGUAAAUCUUGUGCCAGCCACCGCGGUCAUACAAGAAACCCAAAUUAACUUUUAUGAGACGGCGUAAAGGGUGGUCACAUGCUAUCAAAGUAACUAAGAUUAAAAUGCGGCUGGGCUGUCAUAAGCUAAAGCCACCAAUAAAGCCACUACCCCAAAAAAUAUCUUAGACUAACGAUCAAUUGAAACCCACGAAAGCCAGGGCCCAAACUGGGAUUAGAUACCCCACUAUGCCUGGCCGUAAAUCUUGGUGCUUAUCCUACUAGAGCACCCGCCGGAGAACUACGAGCACAAACGCUUGAAACUCUAAGGACUUGGCGGUGCCCCAAACCCACCUAGAGGAGCCUGUUCUAUAAUCGAUGAUCCACGAUAUACCCGACCAUUCCUUGCCCAGACAGCCUAUAUACCGCCGUCGCCAGCCCACCCACCAUGAAGGCCCAACAGUGAGCACAAUAGCCCAACCACGCUAAAAAGACAGGUCGAGGUAUAGCCUAUGGAAUGGAAGCAAUGGGCUACAUUUUCUAUCAUAGAACAUCACGGCAAAGGGACAUGAAAUAACCCCUAGAAGGCGGAUUUAGCAGUAAAGUGGGACAAUAGAGCCCUCUUUAAGCCGGCCCUGGGGCACGUACAUACCGCCCGUCACCCUCCUCAAAGGCGCCCUAACCAAUAACUAAUAAGCCAUCUAGCCAAAGAUGAGGUAAGUCGUAACAAGGUAAGUGUACCGGAAGGUGCACUUAGACUAUC